rnacentral:tRNA from 1 species
AAAGAGUUAGUUAAUUAAUAAUAUUAGAUUGUCAGUCUAAAGUUACUAUUUUGAUUAUAUAGUACUUUUUA